GACGAACGCUGGCGGCGUGCCUAAUACAUGCAAGUCGAACGCUUCUUUCCUCCCGAGUGCUUGCACUCAAUUGGAAAGAGGAGUGGCGGACGGGUGAGUAACACGUGGGUAACCUACCCAUCAGAGGGGGAUAACACUUGGAAACAGGUGCUAAUACCGCAUAACAGUUUAUGCCGCAUGGCAUAAGAGUGAAAGGCGCUUUCGGGUGUCGUUGAUGGAUGGACCCGCGGUGCAUUAGCUAGUUGGUGAGGUAACGGCUCACCAAGGCCACGAUGCAUAGCCGACCUGAGAGGGUGAUCGGCCACACUGGGACUGAGACACGGCCCAGACUCCUACGGGAGGCAGCAGUAGGGGAUCUUCGGCAAUGGACGAAAGUCUGACCGAGCAACGCCGCGUGAGUGAAGAAGGUUUUCGGAUCGUAAAACUCUGUUGUUAGAGAAGAACAAGGACGUUAGUAACUGAACGUCCCCUGACGGUAUCUAACCAGAAAGCCACGGCUAACUACGUG
rnacentral:rRNA from 1 species